AACGAACGCUGGCGGCAUGCCUAACACAUGCAAGUCGAACGAGACCUUCGGGGCUAGUGGCGCACGGGUGCGUAACGCGUGGGAACCUGCCCUUAGGUUCGGAAUAACUCCCCGAAAGGGGUGCUAAUACCGGAUAAUGUCUUCGGACCAAAGAUUUAUCGCCUUUGGAUCGGCCCGCGUUGGAUUAGCUAGUUGGUAGGGUAAAAGCCUACCAAGGCGACGAUCCAUAGCUGGUCUGAGAGGAUGAUCAGCCACACUGGGACUGAGACACGGCCCAGACUCCUACGGGAGGCAGCAGUGGGGAAUAUUGGACAAUGGGCGAAAGCCUGAUCCAGCAAUGCCGCGUGAGUGAUGAAGGCCUUAGGGUUGUAAAGCUCUUUUACCCGGGAUGAUAAUGACAGUACCGGGAGAAUAAGCUCCGGCUAACUCCGUG
rnacentral:rRNA from 1 species